AGAAAUUUGGGCUGCUUAGAUGAAGAUGUUGCUCGCAUAUACAUUGCUGAAGUUGUAAGUUUCUCUUUGGCCUUUUCGUAAAUACAAAAAAGGUGAAGCUAUUUCCACAAUCUAAAUGACUAAUGCCACAACCUCAUAAAAAUAAUUAAAAUGAUAGACUAAAAUACUCUUAUUGAAAUAUCUUUCUUUCUUAUGGCCCAUUUCUUAUUCUCCUAUUUGAAGAGCAGAUUUUUGAAACUUUUCCAAAUUAGGUACUGGAUCAAGGUCAAUGUUGAUAAAAGAAAAGUUUUGCUUCAUUUCAUUAUGCCCCUAAGGAAGUGGAUAUUCAAAAAAUUUGGCCGAGAAAAUCACAAAAUAACAAAGGGGAAAGACAUGUUAAUAUUUGAAGUUCGAACUUUGAAUUCAUUCCUAAUUUGCUAAUUUUAAAAGGCCAUUAGUAUUGAAAGAAAGAAUAAAUAGGAGAUGGAAAGGAGGACCUUUGAAUUUGAGAAAUAGAGGGGGAGAAGGGAAGAACAUGAAGAAAAACGAGUGUGUUCUGGUCCAAUUAGAUAUUGAGGUUGUGGAUAUAAUAAGCAUGGAUGUGGAAAUAGGCCCACCCAUACAACCUUAUUACAUUAUGGUGCAGCCUGUAAAUUUGAGGAUACUUGCUUUAAGGUGCUUGCUUUGGAAUAUCUACAU
rnacentral:misc_RNA from 1 species